GCAGCAGGAGGUGACGGAGGGGACGGAGGGGACGGAGGGCUCCGGGUUUCCGAAAAGCCACCGCGGGGCUGCAUCCCGCCCGGAGCGGGAACCCCGCCAGCAGCAAAACCUCCCCCGGUUUCUACCAGUAGAGACAACACGCUGCUCUUUUUUUAGCACUCUACACAAAAAAAAAAGAAAAAAAAAAAAAAAAAGUGUCUACGCUGCAGGAUGGAGGCUGAA